rnacentral:tRNA from 1 species
GCACCCGUAGCUCAGUGGAUAGAGCAUCGGACUUCUAAUCCGACGGCCGCAGGUUCGAAUCCUGCCGGGUGCG